rnacentral:tRNA from 2 species
GGGCGGGUAGCUCAGUGGUAGAGCGCUUGGUUUGCAAACUAACGGUCCGGGGUUCGAUUCCCUGCCCGUCCA